ACAAACUUGGUCAUUUAGAGGAAGUAAAAGUCGUAACAAGGUUUCCGUAGGUGAACCUGCGGAAGGAUCAUCAAUGAAUUUUCCAAAAUUCAUUUGGCUUUGGUGUUGGGUUUUGGCCUGUCACCAUUGCCUUAUCAACCAUCAGUCUCUGUUCCAGCCUUAAGGUGUCUCGACGAUGCUAAUUUUAUUGGUAUCGAAUUCCCGGGCCCUUUGCAGGAUGGACUUUGACUUUUUGAGUAGAGCGGUAGUGUGGGUUCUCGCCUCGCUGCCCUCUUGCUCGUUAUUGUGGGCAAUUAAAAAAACUAAAAUACAACUUUUAACGAUGGAUCUCUUGGCUCCCGCAUCGAUGAAGAACGCAGC
rnacentral:misc_RNA from 1 species